rnacentral:rRNA from 1 species
UACGUAGGGUGCGAGCGUUGUCCGGAAUUAUUGGGCGUAAAGAGCUUGUAGGCGGUUUGUCGCGUCUGCUGUGAAAUCUCAAGGCUCAACCUUGAGCUUGCAGUGGGUACGGGCAGACUAGAGUGUGGUAGGGGAGACUGGAAUUCCUGGUGUAGCGGUGAAAUGCGCAGAUAUCAGGAGGAACACCAAUUGCGAAGGCAGCUCGCUGGGA